GUUUGAGAGAAGGGAUGACACAGUAGGAUAAGCUAAGCACACUGUUGGUUAUGUGUGCCCAAGCAUUGAGGCAGUCAAAGUAGGCAAAUCCGCUUUGAUAAUGCUGGGAUGUGAUGGGGAGCGAAAUUUAGUAGCGAAGUAGCUGAUUUCACACUGUCAAGAAAAGUCUCUAUCGAGGUUAAAGGUACCCGUACCGCAAACCGACACAGGUGGGUGAGGAGAGUAUCCUAAGGCCAGCGAGAGAACUGUUGUUAAGGAACUCGGCAAAAUGACCCCGUAACUUAGGGAUAAGGGGUGCCACCAUCAGGUGGCCGCAGAGAAUAGGCCCAAGCGACUGUUUACCAAAAACAUAGGUUUCUGCUAAGUCGCAAGACGAUGUAUAGGAGCUGACGCCUGCCCGGUGCUGGAAGGUUAAGGGGAUCUGUUAGAGCAAUCGAAGCAGUGAACUUAAGCCCCAGUAAACGGCGGCCGUAACUAUAACGGUCCUAAGGUAGCGAAAUUCCUUGUCGGGUAAGUUCCGACCCGCACGAAAGGCGUAACGAUUUGGGCACUGUCUCAACAACAGACUCGGUGAAAUUGUAAUUCCGGUGAAGAUGCCGGAUACCUGCG
rnacentral:rRNA from 1 species